rnacentral:misc_RNA from 1 species
CUUGUCGCGUCGUCCUCUUCGCUUUUCUGCACUUCGCCAUCGCCGUGGCCAUUGAGCGAGAAGGCGUCUUUCGGUGUGCCCCUUCCACAGACGCGCGCGCACGCGGGCAUCGCCCCCUCGUCUCCGCUCUGUACUCCUCUAUCGACACGGUCUCUUCGCCUUCAUCUUCGCCAUGUACCAAGCAAUCACCCUUGCACGCGCGACGGCGUGCACGGCUGCAGCGGCGCCUACAUAUGCGUUGGCAUUUCACCGACGCCGCCUGCACACGGCAACAGCCCUUCGGGGCUCCUCGAACAGCUCGUCAUCCUCGGCAGCAACGCCACACAAAGGCACGCGCGCGUCGGCUGCUGCAGCAGUGGCGGCCGGUGUCGUUGGCGGCAGCGGCUCUGGAGCCAGCGACAGCGAUGGCAGUCGCAGUCGUGCACCGCCACUUUACGACCCCAUGCUCUCUCGCCGCCCUGUCGCGAGCGGUCACACACCCGGCGUCUCUCCGCACACCUCCUCCCUGGCGAGUGACACGCCACCGCCGCGCACACAGAUGACCACGCCCGGUGCCUCGCCAGGGGGCGUGGAGUACAGCAAGAAGCGGCAAGACGACGCGGAAGCGUCUGAGCUGCGCCGCCGCAUGGUGCAGCGGGCCACGGAUGCGCAGCGCGCCGGGCAGGAGCCGCUGGAGCGGCAGGAGGGCCUCAGCGAGAGCGACAAGUGGUGGCCGCCGGAAAACCAGAACUGGUCUGGCCGCAUGUUCGGCACCCCGUUCGACAUGAACAAGAAGAAGAUGGACGGCAUGUUUGUGCCGGAGCUGAAGGAAGUGUUCAGCCCAGAGAAGCCGUUGGAGCUAAGCUACGAGGGCGACAACUUCUUCAUCAACCCCGACUUUCAUAUGGCGGAUGAGACGUUCGAGGAAACGCGGCGUUUCGUGCCGCCGCCGAGCUUCGACCCAGCCAUUGACGAGAUCGACGACGACGGCUUUACCGACAGCAAGGUGAUGUUUGACAUCCAGGCCGCAUUGGAGGAGGACAAGAAGCGGCUGGAGGCGUUCGGCAACCCCAUGACGGUGGAGGACCAGGUCGACCACCUUCUCGCCCCUCAACGCGACGGGCAGGAGAACAUUCAGCAGCGGCAGGAGUUCAACGGCUUUGUGCACUGGGGGCUGCUUCACGGUGCGCAUAUGGUGUUGGAGGAGAACCAGGAUACGAAGCGCGCGCACGAGUUCGUGAACCGCUACAUGCGCGAUAUCGACCUCUUCGAGAAGUGGCUGGAGCAUCCAAAGGUGCGGGGGCACAUCCAGAAGAAGUUCGGCAUUGACAUGUCCGCCAAGUUUGACAAGCUGAUGGCGCUGACCAUGGCCAUGUACACGCGGUCGAAGAUCCAAGUCUACGAAGACGACCCAGCCGGGGCCCUCAAGUCCCUGACGGCGAGCAUGAGCUUCAUCACGGAGGGGGCCGACCUAAAGAAGGAGCGCCAUCGCAAGGCCCUUGGUGCGGUGCUCGUGGCCCGAGGCAUGAUCCACUGCAAACUGAAGUCGUUUCACCGUGCCGACGACGACCUGACCCGCGCUCUGGCCUUCGUCAAGGCAAACCGCUCCGCCACGCUGUACCAACUGCGCGCUGAGGCGAGGGAGGCGCUGGGCCGCAUUGACGAGGCCCGCGCCGACGAGGAGCGCGCCGCGCAGAUUUGGGAGGAGGCGGAGGUCAUCACCCCUGGCAUGGAUGGUGCGCCGCGCAAGUUCGUGACGUAGUCCAAAUCCCCUCCCUUCCUGCCUCGCCGACUCCCCCCCCCUACAUUGCAAUGAUAGUGGUGCUGUGGCGUUGGCGGCGUUGGCGUCUGUACGUGAUUUUCAUGCAUGUGAGUAAGACGCGAGUGUACCCUUUCCAGCUACGGUUGUCCAAUAACGCUUUAUGGUCAGGGACGGUGCGUUGGCUGGCAUGAGGGUGACGGCCUCGUUUUUCCACACGUGUGCAGCGGGGUGUGUGCUAUCUGUGCGACUGUGCAACCGUACACACCAGCAUGUGUGCGCGAAUGCAAAGUCGGAUGUAAAGCAGCUGCACACACGCACACAUACACGGAAAGAGAGAACGCAAGCAAGGGGAUGGCAAUAGCUGAGGGGGCCGCGUCAGAAGACGCUCCAGCGAUGUGUGUUGCAGCUGUCCGCCACCACCGCCCUUGUCCUUCGGCCCCUUCCCAUUGGCGUGAAAGAGGCUACACGCGCAUGCGCACGCGCACGCGGGGAGGGGGGAAGGUCGUCACGCGCACCCUUUGUGCGUGCGGCGGUGGUCAUGCCCAUUCUCUCACACCCGAAUCACCGUCCACCUUCUCUUCUCCACCUUUUCGCCGUCUUCUCUGUCUGUCUGUGUGUGUGUGUGUGUCGCAUUCCCGUAUCCUCCCACUCCCUGUGGUGUCGGUGUGGACGCGGCCCGCAG